GGAUGAACGCUAGCGGGAGGCUUAACACAUGCAAGUCGAGGGGUAAAUGGUAGCAAUACUAUGAGACCGACGGACGGGUGCGUAACGUGUAUGCAACAUACCUUGUGCAGGGGGAUAGCCCGUGGAAACGCGGAUUAAUAUUCCAUAGUCCAGCUAUAUCGCAUGGUAUAGUUGGUAAAACUUCGGUGGUAUAAGAUGGGCAUGCGUAUGAUUAGGUAGUUGGUAGGGUAAAGGCCUACCAAGCCGACGAUCAUUAGGGGUUCUGAGAGGAUUAUCCCCCACACUGGUACUGAGACACGGACCAGACUCCUACGGGAGGCAGCAGUGAGGAAUAUUGGUCAAUGGACGAGAGUCUGAACCAGCUAUCCCGCGUGCAGGAUGACGGCCCUAUGGGUUGUAAACUGCUUUUCUAUGCCAAGAAACCUUACUACGUGUAGUAAGUUGACGGUAGCGUAGGAAUAAGGACCGGCUAACUCCGUGCCAGCAGCCGCGGUAAUACGGAGGGUCCAAGCGUUAUCCGGAUUCAUUGGGUUUAAAGGGUGCGCAGGCGGGCUUGUAAGUCAGUGGUGAAAUACUGCCGCUUAACGGUAGAACUGCCAUUGAUACUGCAAGUCUUGAAUAUGGUUGAGGUAGGCGGAAUGUGUCGUGUAGCGGUGAAAUGCAUAGAUAUGACACAGAACGCCAAUUGCGAAGGCAGCUUACUAAGCCAUUAUUGACGCUGAGGCACGAAAGCGUGGGGAGCGAACAGGAUUAGAUACCCUGGUAGUCCACGCCGUAAACGAUGUUCACUCGCUGUCUGCGAUACACAGUAGGCGGCUGAGCGAAAGCAUUAAGUGAACCACCUGGGGAGUACGAUCGCAAGGUUGAAACUCAAAGGAAUUGACGGGGGCCCGCACAAGCGGAGGAACAUGUGGUUUAAUUCGAUGAUACGCGAGGAACCUUACCAGCUCUUGACAUGUCCGGACGAUUUCCAGAGAUGGAUCUCUCCCAGCAAUGGGUCGGAACACAGGUGCUGCAUGGCUGUCGUCAGCUCGUGUCGUGAGAUGUUGGGUUAAGUCCCGCAACGAGCGCAACCCUCGCCAUUAGUUGCCAUCAUUAAGUUGGGAACUCUAAUGGGACUGCCGGUGAUAAGCCGGAGGAAGGUGGGGAUGACGUCAAGUCAUCAUGGCCCUUACGGGCUGGGCUACACACGUGCUACAAUGGCGGUGACAGUGGGCAGCGACCUCGCAAGGGGAAGAAAUCCCUAAAAGCCGCUCUCAGUCCGGAUUGGAGUCUGCAACUCGACUCCAUGAAGUUGGAAUCGCUAGUAAUCGUGGAUCAGCAAGGCACGGUGAAUACGUUCCCGGGCAU
rnacentral:rRNA from 1 species